UUAAAAUAAAGGGAACAAAACAAUGACAAACAUUUUUAAGUGUGAACGCGACCAUAAUUUAACGUCAACAGCUAACAGCAUCUGUGGCAACACACCAAUGACGUAUAGCUGUCAGCUGAAGAAGCAAAAAUAACAAAUAUGGCCGCAGUUCAUCAUAGCAAUCUUUUAUGGCAGAAAAGUCGAAAAAUAUUAACAAAGACAACAUUUAUUGGGACUACACUUGAAUAAUUUUAUGUGAAAGGGCGUUUGCUAACUGGGACAAAAACUAUGGUUCCUGAUCGGAGGAGGUAUAUUAUUCCAGCAACGGCUCGCUGAAUAGGAAUAACUGCCCCGGAAGGCUGCCGAUGCGUGCCUAGGAGUAAGAAGUCGAGUCUCAGACCGCCGGCCCCCUCGUGGCCUACGUAUGGACAGCUUCUCGUAUAGAUAUAUGGGAGACUGAUACUUUAUCACUCCAAAGAGUAAAGUGGCAAGGUGAAGCUUACGGCGGUGGUGCAUUUUCAGCAUGUAGUGCUGAUUAAGGAAAGGUGACACAUGGGCCCGCAGUGGUAUAGAAAAACAAAAACGGGCACAAGCGUUUUGGACACGCUGUAUAAGUCGCUUGGUUUUAUAAAGGAGACGUGGUCCAAAUACAACAUCCAUGUAAUUUAACUUCGACAAUACAAGUGACUCUACUAACCUAAUACGCAGUGUUUCAUUAAUGAAUGGUCUAAUCUUAUAUAGAACUCUGAGUUUAUAAAAGCAAUUCCUGACUACAUCAGCGAUAUGUUUCUCAAAGCGAAGACUAUUAUCCAUUAUAAGGCCCAAAUUCCUGGUUUCAUAAACUUGUUCUAUGGGCUCUCCCAGCAGUGUGACUGUUAUGGAAGGUGUGAUAUGAGCCAACUGGUAUUUGCUUCCAAAGACUAGAUACUUCGUCUUGUUUGGAUUUAGCAGCAGGCAGUUAUCUGAUGCCCAAGAGGCUAUGUUACUGAGAUCAGUAUUAAGUUUGAAAAUGGCAUCAUCAAUAUCUGAUGGCUUACAUGAGAUAUAAACCUGAACAUCAUCUGCAUAAAUGUGGUACUUACAAUGAGUGAUGCAAGAUCCGAUGUCAGCGGAGUACAAGAUAAAUAAAAUUGGCCCGAGGAUCGAGCCCUGGGGAACGCCCCUGGUUAAGCUAAUUGGGUCAGAGGUUAAGGUGGAGCCGUUACAGUUAAUUUUCACGAAUUGGUUGCGCUUACUAAGGUUCUGAUGGGUUAGCCGUUUUAGGCAGCGGCUGCACGACGGCCAUCUUCCAGGCACUGGGAAAUGUGGAAGUCAUUAUGGAGGUAUUAAUUAUUUUUGUUAUUAAAUCAGUAGUAUGUGGCAGCGUCAUAAGUAGCAUAUUUAGAGUUAUCCCAUCUGACCCCUCCGCAUUUGACUUUAAACUCUUAAUAAUCUUUAACAUAUUUUCUGAGGUGAUAGACUCUAAUUCAAAAAUUGAGUCACAAUACCUAUGGUACUCAAAAUGUGUCAAUACAGAUAUGGGUAAUACAGGAUUAUCCGGUAAAGCCAAAAAGUGUUUAUUUAUGAUGGUGGGGUCAUUAAAGUAAGAUGGUAAUUCUAUGUUUUUAUUUGGUAAAAUAGUUGAUUUAAGGGAUUUCCAGAGUAAUUUAGAAUUGUGAAUUUUAUUAUUUAUAUUUUGAUUUAUAUAUGCUUGUUUUUCAGUAAAUAAAGCUUUGUUUAC
rnacentral:lncRNA from 1 species